AUGGCAGCGGAGGCGGAGGCGGCUGAGGUAGUGGGAGGGAGCAGAUCAAAACAGGAGGAAUCACUAGAUGAGAAGUUGAAGUACUUGAAUAUCAGGGAAGAUGAAGAAGAAGAUGUGGUAUUAGAGGAACACUUGGAGGAGUUAGAGAAGGAUGCAGAGUUCAUGGCGCUAGCCCGGGUGCACACCACGAGGAAAUUCAGCCAUGGGGCCUUCUAUGGAACGAUGAGAUCAACAUGGAAUCUCGCAUAGGAAGUAGAAUUCAGAGCCAUAGAAGAUAACUUGUUUUAUGUAUAG
rnacentral:rRNA from 1 species